UCUAGCGUGUGCGCGAGUCAUUGGGUGUAAAACCUAAAGGCGCAAUGAAAGUGUCAGGGGCGCCUCCUUCAGGAGAGCGCCCCGCUGGGAGGAUGGGCCCCCGUACGAUCACUCGUCGGAGCCCCGCACUCCCGGGGCGUCUCGUUCUCAUCACGAGUGGAGACGCACCAGGAGCGCACACGCUGGUACCCGAAAGAUGGUGAACUAUGCCUGGCCAGGACGAAGCCAGGGGAAACCCUGGUGGAGGUCCGAAGCGAUUCUGACGUGCAAAUCGAUCGUCUGAGCUGGGUAUAGGGGCGAAAGACCAAUCGAACCAUCUAGUAGCUGGUUCCCUCUGAAGUUUCCCUCAGGAUAGCUGGCUCUCGGGAAGAGACGAGUCUCAUCCGGUAGAGCGAAUGAUUAGAGGUGAUGGGGUCGAAACGACUUCAACCUAUUCUCAAACUCCCAAUAGAUGAGAG
rnacentral:rRNA from 1 species